CUUAAAGGAAUUGACGGGGGCCUGAACAAGCGGUGGAGCAUGUGGUUUAAUUCGAUACAACGCGCAGAACCUUACCAGCUCUUGACAUUAUUUUUUGAGCUGUGAAAGCAGCUCAUUUAACAUAUUAAUACAGGUGCUGCAUGGCUGUCGUCAGCUCGUGUCGUGAGAUGUUGGGUUAAGUCCUAUAACGAGCGCAACCCCUAUAGUUAGUUAAUUCAUAUUAUUGUUUAGCUGAUGAGGCUGACUGGUAUGUACUCUAACUAAACUGCCUGUGAUAAGCAGGAGGAAGGUGGGGAUGACGUCAAGUCCUCAUGGCCCUUAUGAGCUGGGCUACGCACGUGCUACAAUGGUAAUGACAAUAGGAUGCAAUGAUGCGAGUCGGAGCAAAUCCUUUAAACAUUGCCUAAGUUCAGAUUGUACUCUGCAACUCGAGUAUAUGAAGGCGGAAUCGCUAGUAAUCGUGGGUCAGCACACCACGGUGAAUACGUUCCCAGGCCUUGUACACACCGCCCGUCACACCAUGGGAA
rnacentral:rRNA from 1 species